rnacentral:rRNA from 1 species
CAGUAGCCGCGGGAAUACGUAGGGUGCAAGCGUUAAUCGGAAUUACUGGGCGUAAAGCGUGCGUAGGCGGUGAGUUAAGUCUGCUGUGAAAUCCCCGGGCUCAACCUGGGAAUGGCAGUGGAUACUGGCUCGCUAGAGUGUGUCAGAGGAUGGUGGAAUUCCCGGUGUAGCGGUGAAAUGCGUAGAGAUCGGGAGGAACAUCAGUGGCGAAGGCGGCCAUCUGGGACAACACUGACGCUGAGGCACGAAAGCGUGGGGAGCAAACAGGAUUAGAUACCACCGUAGUCCCUGUCUCUUAUAC